rnacentral:lncRNA from 1 species
ACCAAUAUGCUAUUGGCUUGAUGUGUUUAAGGCCAAAACCUUCCCUUUAUAUUCGAGCUCUCUUUUCACAAGCGAAGGUUCAAAGUACAAUAUCACAUCCAUUAUAGACUCUAAGUUCCACCUUGACCUUCAAGCUUACGAGCGUGAAGGCCCUUUGUAUCUGAGCACUUUCUUCGCCAUCAGUUACGGUAUUGGCUUUGCCGCUCUAAGCGCUACCAUCGUCCACGUCUCUCUCUUCCAUGGAAGGUAUAAGCUCAUAGAUUAUUACACAUAUAUCAAGUUACAAUUAUUGUAUAUUUUUGGAUUUGGCACAUGAAUGGUUCUUGGUUAUGUUAAGAUUGUCAAUGGUUUUUUGUAGGGAGAUAUGGGACCAAAGCAAACAGAGUUUUAAAGAGAAGAAAAUAGACAUACACACGAGACUGAUGAGAAGGUACAAGGCAGUCCCAGAGUGGUGGUUUUGGUGUAUUCUCGCUAUCAAUAUUAGUGUCACAAUCUUUGCUUGUGAGUAUUACAUAGACCAACUUCAGUUACCAUGGUGGGGUGUUCUCUUGGCAUGUUCAGUCGCCAUUAUCUUUACACUUCCUAUCGGUAUCCUAACCGCUAUCACCAACCAGGUAAAACAGAUAACUAAAUGAAUUUGAGUAAAUGUUAUAAUCAAAUGUUUCUCAAAUGUUAUGUGCCAAUACACCACUUUCAUAUUCUAAAAGAUGAUCUUGAUUAUAGCUAUGUCAAUUUAUUUGGAUAUAUUUUGUAUUUUGUAGGCUCCAGGAUUGAACAUUAUUACAGAAUAUAUCAUAGGAUAUAUCUACCCAGGAUACCCAGUCGCAAAUAUGUGCUUUAAAGUAUAUGGAUACAUAAGCAUGAAACAAGCCGUCUUAUUUCUUCAAGACUUCAAACUUGGUCACUACAUGAAGAUUCCACCUAGAAAUAUGUUCAUGGCACAGGUUACACUCUCUAUUUUCAAUUACAUCAUACCACUUGUUAAGGUUUUAAGUUAUACUCACACAUAAAUGAUCUAUUUUAGAUCGUUGGAACACUUUUAUCAUGUUUGGUGUACCUCGUAACGGCUUGGUGGCUAAUGGAGACCAUCCCCAACAUAUGUGAUUCAAUUUCUAACUCGGUUUGGACAUGUCCAAGCGAUAAAGUCUUCUACGAUGCAUCUGUGAUAUGGGGACUUAUAGGACCACGUAGAAUAUUUGGAGAUCUUGGUUUAUACAAAUCUGUUAACUGGUUCUUCCUCGUGGGAGCUAUUGCUCCAGUUCUUGUAUGGUUAGCCUCAAGGAUGUUCCCCAGACAGCAGUGGAUCAAGCUUAUAAACAUGCCAGUUCUUAUUAGUGCAAUCAGCUCGAUGCCACCCGCAACAGCUGUGAACUACACAACAUGGCUUCUUGCCGGAUUGACACACAGCCAUGGAAGAAUCAGAACAAGUUCUUCCUCUACGUAAUUAUAAUUCUCAUUUCUUAUAUUAAUUUCAUAUAAUUUCAAUUGCUAACUAACAAAUAUUUCGUUACAGUAACAAAAGUCAAAGAUCUGACAAACCCAUCACCAGCCUCAUCAUCUUCAUCAUGCGAAACCAGAGAGGAAGCAGAAGUUCUCUGUUUACCAAUCUCCAGCAACGAGGAAGGAGAAGAAGAAGAGAACUCUCCAAUACGAGAAGUAGCACUCACCGUUCCGACAACAGAUGACCCUUCAUUACCUGUGCUAACAUUCCGCAUGUGGGUCUUAGGAACUCUUUCGUGUAUCCUCUUGUCCUUUCUCAAUCAGUUUUUCUGGUACAGAAGAGAGCCUCUCUCAAUCUCCGCCAUCUCUGCCCAAAUCGCCGUCGUGCCUCUUGGUCGUCUCAUGGCGGCAAAAAUCUCCGACAGAGUCUUCCUCCAAGGGUCAAAAUGGGAAUUCACGUUGAAUCCAGGUAGAUAUAUCAUAUAAAUCCAAAUUUUAGAAAUCUCACCAAGACCCGGCAUUGAAAUUUGUGAGCUAGAAACUAAAUAAUCAAUAUAUAUAUAUAUAUAUAUUUUAAAUUAAUUUAUAGACCAAAUGAUCCAUACAUAUUACCUACUAAAACUUUUGAUGUUAAAGUCAAUAUUUUGUUUCUCUGUGGAGGACCGGCCAGCCUUAAAUCUCACAAUGGAUCAAUCAAUCCACGUUGGUUGGUUAUAUACUUUGAAAGUUUGUUAUGUUUUGAUUAAUUUUCAGGUCCAUUUAAUGUGAAAGAGCAUGUGUUGAUCACUAUUUUCGCUAACGCCGGAGCUGGAUCUGUUUACGCCAUUCACGUCGUCACCGUUGUGAAGGCGUUUUAUAUGAAAAACAUAACCUUCUUUGUCUCUUUCGUUGUUAUCGUUACCACCCAAGUUCGUAUUUCAGGCUUCUUCUUUCCUUUUUUGAGCUUUUUCGUUAUAAAAAGAAUUUAAGUGUUGUUAAAAAAAAAGUUUGGAGUUGGAUCGAGUUUAUUGGUUCUCAUGGAAAGUGUGAUUAUGUUUAGGUUUUAGGGUUUGGUUGGGCCGGAAUAUUCAGGAAAUACCUGGUUGAACCGGCGGAGAUGUGGUGGCCGGCCAAUCUUGUUCAAGUUUCACUCUUUAGGUAAAUACUCUUUGAGUGUUUUUCACGUUUCUCUCUUGAGUUUUCGAUAUUUUCUGUAUACAAAACAAAACAAAACAAAAGGAAUUUAUUGUGUUUUUCCAAAUUUCAGAAAAUUUAUGGAGAUGCCAUUUCAACUUUAUGAUUGUGGCAUUAUAAAGUUCUGAAUUAUCAUAGUAAAUGCUAGAUCAUAUAUCCAAUCCCCAUAUACUCACCAAUAUUAUUUUUUUCUUGAACACAAAACAAAUAAAAUUGAGUUCUAAACUUAAAAAUUUUACUGUAGGGGUAAACAUUUAAUCACGAGGUUUUUAUUUGGCCAUGCAUGUCGCUUUGGUAAAGUUAUAUCAUCUUCAUCUUCAUUCUAUUUUAUAUUUUAAAAAUCUUCAAUUUUAUUCUUUAAAAUAGAGUUUGGAGUAAAAAAAUAUAUAAUUUUACUCCAUUUUUUACUUUAUGGUAAUGUAAAUAAGUUUAUUUUAUAAAUAAAACAAAUUAUUUAUUUUUGUUCAUCGUUUUGUUUUUUACUUUAGUAUGUAAUAAUAUUGAAGUAGAACCCAAUUUCACUAUAUAGUUACUCAUUUAAAAAAAAAGUAGAAUGAUCUAUUAGAGAUGCUGUGAAAAUUAGUUUGAACUUUUUAAAAAAGUUGGUUGACUAAACUAGUAUUUAAUAAUACAGUAUGUAAAAGCACAUGGGACCCAAGUUUCACAUUAAAUGUUGGACGUCUUCGAAAAGUACAAUCAUAUGACGUUUUCUAUACAUUUUUGUAGUUGUUUGUUUUCUAAGCCAAUAAUUAUAAUUGAUGUAAAUAUAAUAACUUUUCCUUAUAGAUGUGGUUUAAGCUGUCCAAGUAGAUGAUAUUUCCAUUAACCAAUCAUUUGUAAAUUGUGUCAAUAAAUAACAUAUUGUUUUGUGGUUUGUUAAAAUGACAGAGCGUUGCAUGAGAAAGAAGAACGGACAAAAGGCGGACUGACACGUACACAGUUCUUCGUGAUAGCAUUUGUCUGCAGUUUCGCAUAUUAUGUGUUUCCGGGAUACUUAUUUCAGAUGUUGACGUCAUUGUCGUGGGUUUGCUGGUUCUUUCCAACAUCAGUCAUGGCCCAACAGAUCGGGUCGGGUCUCCAUGGCUUAGGUGUUGGAGCCAUAGGACUCGACUGGUCAACCAUUUCCUCUUAUUUGGGUAGUCCACUUGCUAGUCCAUGGUUAGUCCAAACUCACUCCAGUGUAGGCUAGAAAUAAACCGAAAUUUGUAUAUAAUCUGAUUGGUUUUUUUUAUUAUUUCUAUGAUAAUUAUUCACUAGCUAUUAAUCCAAACCAACCCCAAUGAGACAAAGUUUUCAAAGUAAAUCAAACAAAGAAAUUUUAGUUUCAAGUUGACCAUCACUUAUCAAAGUCCAAAUAACAUAAAAAGAAGACUAAACCCAACAACCAAAUGCCUGAAUAUAUGGUUUUAUCUUGGUUUAGAUUCAAUUUAGUUUGGUAUUACAACAACUAUGUGUCAUCUGUUUUUAUCAGGUUCGCAACUGCUAAUGUGGGUGUAGGAUUUGUGCUCGCGAUAUACGUCGUGGUACCAAUAUGCUAUUGGCUUGAUGUGUUUAAGGCCAAAACCUUCCCUUUAUAUUCGAGCUCUCUUUUCACAAGCGAAGGUUCAAAGUACAAUAUCACAUCCAUUAUAGACUCUAAGUUCCACCUUGACCUUCAAGCUUACGAGCGUGAAGGCCCUUUGUAUCUGAGCACUUUCUUCGCCAUCAGUUACGGUAUUGGCUUUGCCGCUCUAAGCGCUACCAUCGUCCACGUCUCUCUCUU